rnacentral:lncRNA from 1 species
AUACAUGAGGUCCCAUUAUCUUGUAUCUUGGUAUCAUCUAAUGGUACUUUGGUUCCAUUAGUUUGUAUUUGGCCUUGUUCCUUUGUACAUUGGUCCCAUUUAUAUGUACCUUGUUCCAUAUAUUUGUACCUUUGUUCAAUGACUAGAUUUCAUCAUAUAUUUUCAAUGGUUCAUAUUCAAAGUUUGGUGGGUAUUGAAUUGGUACUGUAGUAUUUUCCAUAAGACAAAGUAAUGUGUUGAUGUGAUAAUGUCAUAUUAGUUGUCAGGUGAUAAAAUGGAUGGGGAGCAAAUAAAAAUGCACAAUUGAUUUGGUUAAAGGGUUAUAUUUUUCAUAUUCUUGUGUAGAAUCCUCAAUGGUCAUUAAAUUUGGCUCUCAACAUGGAAUAAUGGGUGAUAUGAUUGUGUUACUUCCAAAGAUAUGUAGAUUAUUUAGUUCCUUUUGGCGACUUCCAAUGCUGUGUGGAUUCCUUACUGCUUUUUUGUGACCAUACGUCAUUUGUCUUUCCUUUAUUUGAAAUACAAAUUAAUAUAUGCCAAGAAGAAGAAGCAU